UACGGAGGGUGCAAGCGUUAUCCGGAUUAACUGGGUUUAAAGGGUGCGUAGGUGGGUUGGUAAGUCAGUGGUGAAAUCUCCGAGCUUAACUUGGAAACUGCCAUUGAUACUAUCAAUCUUGAAUACUGUGGAGGUCAGCGGAAUAUGUCAUGUAGCGGUGAAAUGCUUAGAUAUGACAUAGAACACCAAUUGCGUAGGCAGCUUACUACACGAUCAUUGACGCUGAGGCACGAAAGCGUGGGGAGCAAACAGG
rnacentral:rRNA from 1 species